rnacentral:rRNA from 1 species
CCUACGGGAGGCAGCAGUGAGGAAUAUUGGUCAAUGGGCGCGAGCCUGAACCAGCCAAGUCGUGUGAGGGAAGACGGUCCUAUGGAUUGUAAACCUCUUUUUUCGGGGCGCAAAAGACGCCACGCGUGGCGUUCCGAGAGUACCCGAAGAAAAAGCAUCGGCUAACACCGUACCAGCAGCCGCGGUAAUACGGGGGAUGCGCGCGUUAUCCGGAUUUUUUGGGGUAAAAGGGUGCGCAGGCGGAAGAUCAAGUCAGCGGGAAAAUUGAGAGGCUCAACCUCUUCGAGCCGUUGACACUGGUUUUCUUGAGUGAGCGAGAAGUAUGCGGAAUGCGUGGUGUAGCGGUGAAAUGCAUAGAUAUCACGAAGAACUCCGAUUGCGAAGGCAGCAUACCGGCGCUCAACUGACGCUCAUGCACGAAAGUGUGGGUAUCGAACAGGAUUAGAUACCCGUGUAGUC